CCAUAUUGAUUUCACAAUACUCAAUGUAUUGAAAUAAUGAAAGGUCAUUUUCAAAUUUGUAUUGAGUAAUUUAUUUGGUUUCCUAAUUACAUCACCAAGGUUAAUAUCUUAUUGAAAAAACCUUUCGUUCUCUGCUUGCUACCCCCACUACCGCUCCACUCUGUGUAACCUGCAGCUAGAGUUCGAGCUUUGUCUUCGCCUUCUUUCUUACUAAGUUCUUCGAUCGCCCGCCCUCUCCAUAGCUUCAAAUCCAUCGCACCCGUUAAGAAAGAUUAACCAGUCAUGGAGGAAGUUGUUCAAGAAAAUGUUGCUGUCAUUUCAUAUCCAUCACAGAUUGAUGUCAAACUCUUCAACCUAUGGAGCUUUGAUGAUGUCCAAGUUUACUUCAAAUCCAUCAUAGUUUUUUGUUGUAAUUUGUAAUAUAUACUCUGUUGAAGUUUUAUAAAUUUAUGAUUUUUGUUUGUUGGUUGUAAUUUUGUUGUUUUUGUUGUGUUAGCUCAUUGAUGUUUCGUUGAGUGACUAUAUUGGAGUUGUGACAACAACAAUUCCCCCACUGCUGGGAGAUAAUCUAUGAAGAGGUUUAGGAAAUCGCAGAAAAAUACAACAAGGUUUUAUGCUGCAAAUAUGAGAAGAGUGAUCUUUGAGGUGUUUGAUCGGUGCAAACAAAAGGUAUUGGUGACGGCGAAUCCGAAGGUGAUGGUGGAAGCGUUUGUGAAGGACUAUCUAGCUAUGGAAAUAAAAGAAUACUGGAUUCUGAAUUCAUAUCUAUUUGCAAGGUGCAGGCCGUAUGAUGAUCCAUCUAUUAAAACAAAGAUUGAUCUGCUUCAUAAAGAGAUCAACAAGAAAAAACAAGCUCGGUUUCAAAUCACCGAAGAACUGAAGGCAAGGCGAGUGAGUUCAAAAUGAUUCAUCAUUGUCUGGACAUGCUUUUUUGGACACCUUUUCUUCCCCUCUGUGUACUUUAGUGCAAUCAUCAAUGCAAGCUGUCAUUGGAGAUGCUUUUCAUUUUCCAGAAUUUGGUAUUAAGUUAUUAACGCACUUAUGGUAUGUGCAGGUUUUUUCAAUAAAUGCUCUGUUAUGGACUUAUAGUGCACUAUUUUUAUAUGUUUUUGCCAAUCAUAUUAUUUGAAGUUUUAUAAUAUCAUUGCAUUCAAAUUGUAGAAAUUUGUAAGUAAGAUGAAUAUUGUUCCUUCUUUUCUCAUGCUGCUACCCUAAAGAGCUCUGAUCACCAUAGGGCCACUAACACCAGUUCCAGAUUGGGUGCACAACAGAAGAAAUUGAAUCUUCCUAUUCUUCCCAACCACUACAAAUGAUCUUUCCCUCAGACUUCAGAUCUUAGAAGGGUUUGCCGUUAGUUCAAGGCCAAAGAGUAAGCAUAAUUCAUCUUCUUUUUCUUCAGUUAUCUACUACAUCCAAUAAUUAUCACAUUUUAACACUUAACAUGCUCUAUGUAACUAUAUGAAUAGGAUCUUUGAAGAGGGUUAUACCAAGAUGUGUCCCUAUUGUUGUCGUUGCUAUUGAUAAUGCAACAAAUGUUGGGCUGUUGGUUGUGAGGAUAUUGAGUGUUGCCGAUUAAAAUCUUAUUUCACAAAAAAGAAAAAAUGCAAAACUAUUUUACACUUCUGGCUUACAUAGCUAUAACAUUUAUAUUGCUAUGCAGGAUGAUCCAAUAUCAAGAGGACCAAAAAGAAAGUGUAAUGGCGGAAGGAGAGAAGUUAGAAAAGCUUGGUUGAAAAUCCUACCUAAAUGAUAGUAAUUUGUUGAACUCAUUAAUUUAGUGAAUUUGUUGAAUCCUACUUAAAUGCUUUCUAGCUAUUCUUGGGUAAUGCCUAAUGUGAAUUAAAAAUGGUAUUUUAUUUGUUAACUGCAGGUAUGAUAAAGACCUAUUGAAUUAAUUGCAAUGUUUAAUGAAAAUGAAGAAGUGGUAUGAAGGCCAAUUGAUCAUGGCUUUGGGGGUGAAGUUGUUUCUACUGUACAGUCUCAAAAGAAUUCAGCCACAAAAGCAGUCGACAAAGCAGUCAGCAUACAGUUUUUUCAAUAACAAAUCACCACCAAACAAUUCUAUUAACGAAAGCACAAUGUUGUAGCAGCGUCUUUCGAUGAUGAACUUAAAAAGAUAUCAAUGUUUAUAUCAGUUAAGAGAGGUUGUGAUACCUACUGAAAUUCUAGAUAAUGGUCUCUUGUGUUAUCUGCUUUGGUUUGAUCCUUACUCUACUGUUUAAAGUUGGCAAGAUAAUGACCGAGGUGUUCCGUGUACUUUUGGACUUGAUGUUAUCGCAAAUUUUUUGGAUAAAAAUGAUAUUGAUCUUCUUUGUCAGGGACAUCGGGUAAACCUCUUCCUUCAUUUAAGAAUGUUGAAUGAAUCGGUACAUGUUUUUAUUUUGCUGUUAUAGUUGCACUUCUAUAUUUUUUAUCAACUUAAUUGGUUAUCAAUUCACAAAGAGGGAACAAAAUAUCAUGGCAAAACAAGACUCGGUCGAAAUAUACACAAGCAUUUGUAUCUCUUAUUCUUUUGAUUCAAUCUUAUUUUUUCCUUUUUAUGUUACUUCUACCAUCUUUUAAUUAAGGUCUCAUUGUAAUUUGUU